rnacentral:tRNA from 1 species
UGCGGGGUAGUAGCAGUGGAAGCUCGCCAGUUUCAUAGGCUGGAGGUCCUGGGUUCGAACCCCAGUCCCGCUAUCAA